CUUGGUAAUCACUGGUGUCUUCCUCUGUUGUUUUUGUUUGUUUGAUUGUUUGUUUGUUUUUCCCCAAUAGGAUCAUACCUUCCUUAAAGUACCCCAGAUUGGACACAGCAUCCCAGCUGGGGCAUAAGCAUCUUGAAGGAGAGCUGAAGAAUUGCUAGAUGUUUUGUAGGUGAUACCACUGGCUAAAAAUUGCAGUUCUUUCUUGCUGAAUGUGACAAUUUAUGGGAGACAGUGUCAGAUCCUCAGCCUCCUUUGAAGUCAGCACCAAUAUAUACAGAGGGUCUGGAACCUCUCUGCAAAACUGCCUUACCUCAGCCUCAUGGGAAAUCAGUAGGAGCUGCGGGAGUGCAACACUGCUAAAAAUGCAUAUUUUGCAACUUUUUAGCAAGUUUCUUCCAACAGCCUCAAAGCUGUUAUGGUACAAGAGGCAGGCCUGAGGAAAAGAAGAAUCUGGGUCAGCCAAAGCUUCGCUGCUCUCAAACAUCUGGACUGGAUGAGCCUACAUCUGUAGCUAAAUAUGUCAAGAAGUUCUGGAUUCCUAUUUCUGUUCACUGAUCAUUAGGUGUCAUCAUAUGAGGUGUCACCUCAGUGUUCAGUCACGCAACUAUCUGAAAGAAGGAACUUAUUUUCUUUGUACAAGGGAGACUUCUAAUGAGGUACUGGUCUUUUGUUUAGAGCUAAUUGCUUUAAACACAAAAGCAAUACUCAUCUUAUUAGACUUGCUGAAGAUCUAAGUUCAGUUUCCGUAGGCUAUGUGAUCUUGGAAAGUAAGUUGGAUCUCAUCACACAUCCUCUUCACUCCCAAAGAUGGGGAUAUUACCACACCUGCCGUAUGUUACAAUUUGGCACCCUUAGGGGAAGGACUCUGUGUCAAUAAACAUGCACAAAAGGUGAGAGUGUGCUCAAGGUCUCGAGCAUUUACUGCAGGAUAUAAUAUACAUAGUGCAAUUUACAGGGAGAAAUUACGGACCAUAUAUUUAGAGAGUGUACUUCAUUCUUUCCAUCAUUUAGCAGAUGGGAGAAAGUUAGAGCAAUGGAAGUAUUUUCUUAAGACCCCAGUAAGAAAGUCACUCAGUGAGUGAUUCUCUGAGAGGUAUUAACUAGAAUUCAAUUUAUUGCAGCUGACAACACUAUAAGGAAAAAGAAGAUACUAUAGAUAACAGUAUAUGCCUUCAAAGGCCAGGAAACUCUGAAUUGUGCACCAUUGGAUAGAUCUCCAGUCAGGACUUGGUAUAUGUUGCAGACCCCAUCCAUGAAGAAGGUCACUGGCAUUUUGGUAUGAUUUUCCUGAGCUUUUCCAGAAUUUUCUUAGAAUAAAAUAGCUAUUUUCAUCAUUUCUACUGUCAAAUAAAAGGACAUUCGUAUGUAAACACAUUGCUUCACUAAAAGAUAAAUACAGGACAUGCAGGUGGUGUAAUCACUGGUGCCAAGUGGGAACUGCCAAAGGGCUUCUUCAGUACAAUUAGCAGGCUAAGUUUUUCCUGCUGCCAAAGCGCACAUGCAGCGCAACACAGACCCAAAUACCAAUGUGUAUGGACAGGACAGGACAGCACAGGCCUGCACCUUCUCAGGCCAGUUUGAAUUUCACGGCUUGGUUCCAGAGGACAAUCCCCUGUUUGCUGCCUAUGCUGGAGGUACAUCCUCCAUCUGCAGAUCUUUGGAAACACUCCACCCACUGUGUCUCAAUGCCCCUGUGGCCAAGCUAUUGUGUUGAGCAAAGAGAUGGACCAUGCCAUUGUCUGUAAUGCUGCAGGGAGACAGUAUCCCCAUGCCAAGUCUCAGAGGCUGAAGAAAAAGUCCUCUGCAUGCCAGGUGUCCAACUCCUGUUAAUCAGGAGUAAUAAAGAAAUAGACUUUGAUCUGAGGUAAUGUAAUGCUGAUCUGCAUGAAUUACAUUAAACACGAUCACUUUAAUAUCCAUAGUAGGUGCUCUGGGUGACCAGCCUGUUAACAGAACUCAGCUACCACACAGGGUAUAUUUGCAUUUUUUUGUUGUUUCUGGUUUGGGAAAGGUUUUAUUUUGGAUAAAGUGAACUCAUGUAAGGCUUCAUAUCAACAGCCGCAGGGCAGAAGUAGGGCUGUUCUUCCCAUUCAUCACCGACUUGUUGGCCACGGGUCUGCCCACAAGCGAUGGUGGGAUGGGAGAGUUUUACUGACAGGCAACUGGCAGCAGCUAUGUUGAAGAGAAUGAUAAUAUUCCUAUGCUCUGUCAGUUUGACGGCCUACAAGGAAGC